CAUGAAGCUGGAUUCGCUGUAAUCGCGCAUCAGCCACGGCGCGGUGAAUACGUUCCCGGGCCUUGUACACACCGCCCGUCACACCAUGAGAGUUGGAGAUACCCGAGGCCUAUGAGCUAACUUUUAGAGGCAGUAGUCGAAGGUAGAAUCAAUGAUUGGGGUGAAGUCGUAACAAGGUAGC
rnacentral:rRNA from 1 species